GGACUACCAGGGUAUCUAAUCCUGUUUGCUCCCCUAGCUUUCGCAGAUCAGCGUCAGGGAUGGCCCAGAAGCCUGCUUUCGCCAUAGGUAUUCCUCCCGAUAUCUACGCAUUUCACCGCUACACCGGGAAUUCCAGCUUCCUCUGCCACCCUCUAGCCCGGUAGUUUCCCUUGACCUCUCCCAGUUGAGCCAGGAGCUUUCACAAGAGACUUACCGAACCGCCUACCUGCGCUUUACGCCUAGUGAUUCCGAGUAUCGCUUGCCACCUACGUAUUACCGCGGCGGCUGGCAC
rnacentral:rRNA from 1 species